AUACGUAGGGAGCGAGCGUUGUCCGGAAUUACUGGGUGUAAAGGGAGCGCAGGCGGAGAUGCAAGCGUGACGUCAAAUUUCGGGGCUCAACCCCGUCUCGCGUCGCGAACUGCGUCCCUUGGUUGCGGGAAGGGGAGGCGGAACUCGUGGUGUAGCGGUGAAAUGCAUAGAUAUCACGAAGAACUCCGAUCGCGAAGGCAGCCUUCCGGCCCGUCAACGACGCUCAUGCUCGAAGGUGCGGGUAUCAAACAGGAUUAGAUACCCUGGUAGUCCGCACAGUAAACGAUGGACACCCGCGGUUUGGCCUAUAUGGCUGAGCCGCCAAGCGAAAGCGUUAAGUGUCCCACCUGGGGAGUACGCCGGCAACGGUGAAACUCAAAUGAAUUGACGGGG
rnacentral:rRNA from 1 species